rnacentral:rRNA from 1 species
AGACGUCUACAUUAGAUACCCCUGUAGUCCCAGCCGUAAACUAUGCGCGUUAGGUGUAUCGGUGACCACGAGUUACCGAGGUGCCGAAGGGAAACCGUGAAACGUGCCGCCUGGGAAGUACGGUCGCAAGGCUGAAACUUAAAGGAAUUGGCGGGGAGCACCACAACAGGUGGAGCCUGCGGUUUAAUUGGACUCAACGCCGGGAAGCUCACCGGAUAGGACAGCAGAAUGAUUGCCGGGCUGAAGACCCUGCAUGACUAGCUG